AUUGUUCUGCCUCCCAUCAAUCUCAACCGUUCGUGUCCACUGCCCACCCACGUGCGUCACCCCGUUCGUCCAUUCCGCGCGAGACCCUAGACUCUCGAUUCUCCCUCCACACCCGCCGCCACCCGCCCACCCUCUCUUCCUCCACGCGAUCUAGCAACCGCUCCCACCGACUCGUUUUCUCUCUCGCCACCCCGAUUUGUCUGCCGCCAUGGCAUCGGCAUCGCGCGCGCUCCUCCUCUCCCGUGCGCUCUAGCCUGGCGUCGUGUACCUUCGCAUCCCCGGCCGCCUACGCUCGAUCGCUGCGGACGUGAGCCUACUUGCAACCCAGAGAGAGAUCGAGGCGAUAUGCAAUGGGCACGAGGCUGCCACCAGGGCGGAAGAGGACGAAGAGCAGGAACCGAUGCAGAAGCGGUGAACGGGGAGGAAGGAGCAGGAUGGGGAAAACUCAGAAGGCAGGUGAAGCCUCCAGGGCCUGGUGGAGACAUUCACGUCGCGGUCGGAGUCGGUGCUGGGAGGCUACCACCAACCUCGAGGACCUCGGCUCGGGGUUCCGCUUCGAGACGGCAGCGCUCCAGGCCGUCGCCGCACACGCUGCCCCGACGCUACCCAACGCGUUGGAGGCCACCGCGUCUGCCUCCUCCAAUAAAGUCAAGUCCAUCGGUCAGGUCGUUGAUGACCUCAAUACUGUCGCCGGUCUCCUCUCGAACCUACAAGAUCGUCGAUUACGUCGACGUCAAGAUGAACAGCACCGUCCACAAGGGGAUGCCGCACCAGUCGCGUCAGGAACACCAACACCACCAGGUGUGCCAUCGGCGUCGAAAUAAACAAGCAGUUUUAGCUGAAGUAGCACUAUAUCAGGCGUCAGAAUGGCACCACAUCCUCCACGAGGGAGGUUACUGUUGCGGGAGUCUUCAGCAGGUCACUCGCCACAUGCGCCUUCCAGCAGACCGACAAUGAAGCGUUGCUUGCUCGCUCCUCGACGACCAAGGAGACCGAAAAAACUGCUAGAAAAAGGCAUGUCUCACUAACUGAAACUAUACUUCUUGCGUGAAAUAUGGCAAGCUUCACAUGUGAAAAACUACCAGUUACACAAUGAAAAACUGUAGAUUUCACUGAACAUGUGAAGCUUGAGGUGCUGACCACGACUAUGCUUUUAUUUAUGUUCUUAUUUUCACUCAAUAAAGUAUUUUGUUCUCAUGUCCGGUGCUCUUGUGUCUACUGGUUAUAAACAAUAAAUGCUAUGAUGGAGCUAAGGGUGAUCUGUGGUCAUGUGGAGUGAUUUUCUUUGUCCUCAUGGCGGGGUACCUCCCAUUUAAAGAUUCAAACCUGAUGUCGCUUUACAAGAAGAUCUUCAAAGCGGAUUUCAGUUGCCCAUCCUGGUUCUCCACAAGUGCAAAGAAGCUCAUCAAGAAGAUACUUGAUCCUAAUGCUAACACUAUGAGUUCUGUUGUUUGUAGCCAUCAUUUAACUCAUUUUGUUCAACAUCUGCAGAGUUAAUAACUGUGUACCAUCGUUCUGUGGCCUGUGUAGAUAAUAGCUAUUGCGGAGCACAUUAACAAUGAGUGGUUCAAGAAGGUUUAUCAACCUCCCAGAUUUGAAACAACAGAUGUUAUUAUGGACGCAACUUUGAUCCUGAAUGCGCACAACUUUAGUUGUUCUGUCUGUUUUUAGAGGAUUCAUUUUUAGAUAGGUUGAAUAUUGUCAAAAUUUGGUUGUUCGAAAUGGUUAUGAUUGUUGAGUUGAUUCUUGAUAGCAUUACUAAACAAUAACCUAUGCGUGCACAAGUGUCCCUCAUUGCAAUGCACGGGCAUAUACCUAUCUUGUCACUGAGUUUGAUUCUUUGGUGCCAGGUGCUUCUAAUAUCAAUGUCACUGACAGCCAGAUCCCACUGACUGUGCCAAACUCUCACAUUGGAAGAGAUGUUGUUGUUCACGCUGCUCCUGGUGAUCUUAGAAAGGAGCUAUUGGUUUUUAUAAGUGUGCAACUAAAGAUCAGUGACUAUAUCUUGGUUUUAGGCCAUCGAAUCUGUUUCAAGUUCCAGCAAUGGAGCAGUGAAGCACACAUUCAUGAGGAUUGACAGAUGAAUCGACGAGAGCCAUGGAAGCAGCCUUUGCUCAAGAAAGGUGACAUCGUGGUCGUGGAGAUCUCCAACCUCUAUCAGGUGGCUAUGCUGGUCAAUGAUCUGUGCAGGUCGAAGAGCGUGAACGACCUAUCCUCCCCAUCAUGCCAAACCCACAAGGACGACGACGACAACAACCUAGAGGACGAGGAUGAGUGGUAGGACGGGAAAAAGUUUAAUGCGGUGGCCACCUUCAAGAUCCUCGGCGAGGUUGACAUUGCUCACCUUAGUUAGACUUUAGAAACCCAGUCAGCUGCUUCUGCGUUGGUGGUGCUGAGUUCGUGCAUUUCAGAGUGUUCGCUGCUACUGUUAGUGAUACUGCUCCCCUUUUUGGUU